rnacentral:rRNA from 1 species
AUUGAACGCUGGCGGCAGGCUUAACACAUGCAAGUCGAGCGGAGAGAGGUAGCUUGCUACUGAUCUUAGCGGCGGACGGGUGAGUAAUGCUUAGGAAUCUGCCUAUUAGUGGGGGACAACAUUUCGAAAGGAAUGCUAAUACCGCAUACGUCCUACGGGAGAAAGCAGGGGAUCUUCGGACCUUGCGCUAAUAGAUGGGCCUAAGUCGGAUUAGCUAGUUGGUGGGGUAAAGGCCUACCAAGGCGACGAUCUGUAGCGGGUCUGAGAGGAUGAUCCGCCACACUGGGACUGAGACACGGCCCAGACUCCUACGGGAGGCAGCAGUGGGGAAUAUUGGACAAUGGGCGGAAGCCUGAUCCAGCCAUGCCGCGUGUGUGAAGAAGGCCUUAUGGUUGUAAAGCACUUUAAGCGAGGAGGAGGCUACUUUAGUUAAUACCUAGAGAUAGUGGACGUUACUCGCAGAAUAAGCACCGGCUAACUCUGUGCCAGCAGCCGCAGUAAGAC